UACGUAGGGGCCAAGCGUUGUCCGGAUUUAUUGGGCGUAAAGAGCUCGUAGGCGGCUUGGUAUGUCGGGUGUGAAAGCCCCGGGCUCAACCUGGGAAUUGCAUUCGAGACUGAAUAGCUAGGGUACGGUAGAGGGAAGCGGAAUUUCCGGUGUAGCGGUGAAAUGCGUAGAUAUCGGAAGGAACAUCAGUGGCGAAAGCGGCUUCCUGGACCAGUACCGACGUUCAGGCACGAAAGCGUGGGGAGCAAACAGG
rnacentral:rRNA from 1 species